AGACCACGUUGUGGGCGAUUCAUGUAAAAUCUUUGGCGUGGUAGCAUUUGUUUUGUUGUCAGCGGGCUAGCGGCAUGCCAUUCCAAGUUAGUUGUGUGUAGAAAAGUUUAUAGUGAUUUGUAUGCGUUUGAAAGCAGCUGAUUUUUAGCCUUUGUGGUUGCUCCUCUGCUUGGACAGGGAAAUGUCAUGCUGUCACAGUGAUCUGCUCCUACAACACCAGCUGCUCUGAAUGAAGAACAGUACUCAUCUCUGCAGUAAGUGAUUGUGGAGCACCUCAGGUAUUGUACCCACCACAUAUUUUGUCUUUAGGACAUCUGUAUACUGUGUUAAGCAGCACAUUAUUUGUCUGAUAUCUCAUUGUGGUUUUAGACAGAUUAUGUAAUACAUGCAGUCUAUUUCAUUAGGUAAUGUCUCUUGCUCCAGAAUCUUUUCUCAAUUUAAUCAAGAAGCUUCAAGUUAAUUGCGCUUUGUGUCAGUACAUUUAAACAGCAAAAAUGAUAGAAUAACAAACUUCUUAGUGAAAGAAGGAAAAACUGCUGAGAGAGAAAACCGCUACCUGCAAAGAAUGUGUGUUGACAGAGGACAAUCACUGAAAAAUCUACUGCAGUGAAACUGUUCCAGCACAUUCUUACACAGUUUCAAAGUUGCCAUGUUGUGAGCAUUGUUCGUAUUGUUAAACAAAUGUUUAUAGUCUGUUGACACUGAUAUCAAUCAUUUCCAAUGGUAUUUUUGCGUCUUCUUGUGCACUGUGCUCAGUGAAGAGAGCAGGUGAUUCCAGUAGGUAACUUUUACACCAUUUUUUUGAUGUGUAGUGUUUUCUUUAAUAAGACUUAACUACAAUAUGGGAUGAGGGCCGUUGUGUGUAAUAGAAUUCGACAUCGGUGUAAAAUUAAAUUUUUUAAAAAUUUUACAUUUCAAAAGUUGGAUCACUUUGGAACAGGAACUCUUAGUGUAACCAUAAAAUGGUAUUGCUCUAAAUAUAAUUUUAGAAAAAUAAGAUUAUAUUGACAUUUACUAUUGUGUAAAUGAAUACAAAUACAUGUGUAAUGGAAUGGGACUUAGAUAGGAUGUAAAAUCCACCUUAGGUGGGGCAUAGUAUAAAAAUUUUGUGAAAGGGUAAUUCCAUGUCAAAUCAACACACUUUAAAUAAAAAUUUGUCCUCACUCUCUUAGAUUUUGCUGGAACUUGAUAUUCUUAUAGUGGGUGCUUCAACUAAGAAAAAUACCAAAUUUCAAUUUUUUACCUCAAACCAUUCCUGAAAUAUGGCCGUGUAAACCUUUCAAAAACUGGCCAAAAUGUGUGAACGGACAUUUUUCAAGCUGUCCUAGGAGCUGCCCUAAUUGAGCUAGAGAGCUGGGAAAGGUGUCAUUUUGCAGCAUUUUUCAUGCUCUUUCCAGUGAUAUACAACAAAACAGCUUAUAAUUAAUAACCUUUUUCAGAAUGCUAAUUAAUAUUUUAAUUAAAUUUUUUUACAUAAAGUACAUAAUUUGAAAAUUUUCAAAAUAUUUCAAUAACUACUUCAUAUUGUUAUAAAUCACAUGGCACAAUAUAAAUGUGGGAUGAUGGGUUCAUUGUUUAAAAAAAUUAUUCCUGAUUCUUGUUUUUUGACCAAACUGACCUUUAACAAACAGGAAUUUCAGUAAAAUAUACUGAAAGGUAAUUAAAAAAGUACUAGAAAUAUCAAAGUAUCACUUUCUUGAAACAAAACCAAACAACAUUUGCUAUAAUUGAUUGCUUUUUUUUUAAUUUCUUACAGUUUAAACUAAUAGUCGAUUAACCGGCAAACGAAAUGUUCAGUGUGGGACCUAUAGCUAAGAUUUAAAUAAGAUGUGAAAAACUUGGAAGUAGACUGUUGAUGUAAUACUUCUGGUCCUAAAAAGCACAUUUCAUUAGCACAGACUUUAGCCACUGUGUGAAGGCUGAGCAUGCUUGUGUUCCCGUCUAUGUAUGCAGCAGGCUGUGAACACGUUGAAACACACACAGUGCUUGACGUCUGUACAAUCAUUGAGAGACUGGAGCCAUUGUUAAGAGGAUAUACGACUGUUACCUUCUAAGGCUUAGUGUGCCUAUAGCAUUAUUGUGCACUGUUGUUUUUGUGCAAAUCAGUUGUUAACUCUGUGUUGACCAGUUUGUAUCAAGUAUAUUUAAUAGUUCAUUUACAAGUAAAUCUAUAAAUUGAAGGAGACUUUGUAAGUGGUUUUUGUAUCAAUAUGGAACCAAAUAAAAAGUGGAGUGCUGUAAGAGUGCAGUGUUGUAAUCCGUUGAAGUCAAAUCAUUUUAUUAGAGACAGAAAAAACUGAGGAAUGUCACAGCAUAAAUGCUCAAAUUAUAUCCACAAAUAGCUAAUGGUGGCAGGAUUUGUGGGGAAAUGUAGGAAAUAUGUAACCACAUUGAAAAAUAAACCAGAACCCAUCAGUUAUAAGUGUUGAAGAAGGUCCUUCUGGAUCAGAGAUAAUCAUCCCAGACCAAGACCCUGACUUCACUGCAAGUUCAUUGGUUGUUCAAACACUUAACACAUCAGUUAAAGAACUAGGUGAGUACCCAAUUGAUAAGAAAGAAGUAAGAUCUAGACGAUACAGUAAAUUAGAAGUGGAAAAAAUCUAAUCAGUGACAUGUAAACUUUUUGUUGCUGCUGAAGCUUCAUCAGAUACUGAUACUGACGAAUCCAUUCUUCAAAAAAUCGAAUCAAACUGUAAUAAUUCUAUAAGUAAGCAAAAAAACUAAUGGUUUUUAAAAGUUCACCUGAAAAGUGGGGUGUCAGGAAAAUAACGAGGGAAUUUAAUGCUCCUAAUUACAUUGUUAGGCAGUCCAAAAAAAGUUUUGAAAGGUCCAAACCCAAAACCAGGGAAGUGUUUACCAACAGAAACUGUCCAUUCAUUUUAUGAAAAUGAUGAAGUUAGCUGGGCAAUGCCAGGUGUUAAAGAUUGUGUGAUAAUUACAGAAGUGGAAGUAAAACAAAAAUAUCAAAAAUACUUAUUUUGUAUAACCUUAAAGAAACAAGUGUUUUAAAGACAAGUUUCCUAACAUAAAAAUAGGUUUCUCUAAAUUUGCCGAGUUGAGACUGAAACUUUGUGUAUUUGCUGUGUGUGCACAACUCACUAAAACAUAAAAUUAAUGAUAGAAAAUGCCAAACUAAAUACAGUAACAAACAGCAGCUUAAACAAUUAUAAGCAGUGCAUUAUAAAAAUGCUUUGCAACCAUCAUCAGUUGAUUGCAACAUGGGAAAUUGUGAAUAUUGCCCAGGAGAAACUGUCAUACGUAAAAUUUUACAAGACUUCUUUAAUGAAAACGUAAUUGAUCUAGUUCAGUUUCGACAGUGGAUGUCAGUUGACUGCUGUAAUCUGGAAAUUGUUCAGAAAACUUCUGAAGAAUUCAUAGAUUUCUUUUGUAGCAAGAUGUCUCCACAAGAGAAAACCUUAUGGAAUCUGAAUUUGUCAUCAUAUGUGAGUUUUUGGAAAAUUAUAGUAUAGUUCUAUAGGAUGAAGCUCAGAGACAAGACAACAGAUUACCGUUCAUACAUUUGUUAUAUAUUACAAACAGUAAGACAAAAUUGAGCAUAUGAGCUUUGUCAUUGUUUCAGAUUGCUUGGAGCACAAUACAGUUGUGGUUUACGCCUUUCAACAGAAGCUUUUCCUAUCUAACAAAUAAAUUUCAAAACUUCCAAAAAUAUAUACUAUUAUUCUGAUGGUUCUGCUGCUCAGUACAAAAAUAAGAAAAACUUCCUGAACCUUUGCCUUUGUUAGGAAGAUUUCAACAUAAAAUCUGAGUGGCACUUUUCAGCCACAACACUUGGGAAAGGGCCUUUUGAUGGAGUAGGAUGUUCAGUUAAGAGACUGGCAGCUCGUGUAAGUUUGCAAAGGCCAUACUAAAAUCAGAUCCAAACCCAACGAGAUUGGGCAGUGGAUCAUUUCACAAGUGUUGAUUUUGCAUAUUCCACUCAAUAAGACUAUGCUGCUUCAGAAAUAUUAUUAAAAAGCCGGCUUGAAGAGGCAUUGACAAUCAAAGGAACACAGCAAUUUCUACAUCUACAUUUAUACUGGGCAAGCCACCCAAUGGUGUGUGGCGGAGGGCACUUUAUGUGCCACUGUCAUUAACUUUCAUUCUCCAACACUACAUCAAAAUUAAUAGUUAGUUAUUUUUCAGGUGAUAUGCAGAGUUGGGAGAGGGAAGUAACUACAUCACCAGACAAACUGAAGUUACAAGAUGUAUCAGGCUAUGUCACCACUGUAUAUGGCAGAAACUGGUGGCUUCGGGUGGGUACAAAACAAAGAACUCGAUGAAGUGAAAAUAACUUUUUUUCAUCCAUGUGGACCAGCUAAGUCAUCAAGCAGAUGUCCUAUCCGUUGUGGGUGUCCACAAAUGUAAAUCCAUUUACUGCGACAGGGAGAACAUACAUUCUUACUGAACGUGAUGUAAACCAAACCCAGUCGGCUUUAUUAAAAUGUAAUCUGUGAAGUUCCAAGACAAUUUGUUGGGAAACUGCUUUCAACUCAAAACUUAAUUUUUGUCUGAGGUUACUGUUAACGUGUGUUUUAUAGAAAGUUGUUUCAAAAUUACUUAUCGUGUUAAAUUUAGCUAUGUAUAGAGAGAUACCUGUUACUCAAAAACAAGCAUUGUGUAUUAAUUUUUUUUUCUAGUUUCAUUCCAAACAUCAUGGACCUGAACUAUUAUGUAAAUACUUGUACUUUUUCAUACUUUAUUUCAGUUUGUAGUUAAAUGUUCAAACUUUUUUGUUUUAUCAGUUAAUAUACUGUUAGUUGAGUUGUAUGAAAUUAAAAUAAGCAAUCAGCUAUAAAAAUGAUUAUUUUUGUUUUAAUAAGGUGAUGUUUUGAUACUUCUAAUACUUUUUAUAGUUACCUUUCAGUAUAUUUUAAUGAAGUUCCUGUUUGUUAAAGGUCAGUUUCCUCAAACUAUGGCUGUUAGUGAAAAAAAGCAAGAGUCCAGAAUAACUGUUUUUAACAAUGAACCCAUCAUCAUCCCACAUUUAUAUUUUGCCGUAUUUACAACAGUAUGAAGUAGAAUAUUUUGAAAAUUUUCAAAUAUGUACUGUUGUAAAAAAAUUAAAUCAAAAUAUUAAUUAGUAUUCUGAAAAAGUUUAUUAAUUAGAAGCUAUGUUUUGUUGUAUAUUCGUGGAUAGAGCAAGCAAAAUGACACCUUUCCCAGCCCUCUAUCUCAAUUACAGCAGCUCCUAUGGCAAUUUAAAAAAAGUCCGUUCGCACAUUUUUGGCUGGUUUUUGAAAAGUUUACAUAACCAUAUUUCAGGAAUGGUUUGAGAUAAAAAAUUGAGAUUUGGAAUUUUUCUUAGAUUCAGCACCCCACUAUAAGUAUACUAAAUUUUAGCAAAAUCUAAAAUAGUGUGGUAAAAUAUGUGUGUUUAUUUUAACCAACUGGACUCCUAAACUUUUUGUGCCUCUUGAGUCAGUAGUCCUUUCUGGAUAUUAAUUUCUUUUGUUUUUCAUUCCUAUCUGGUACUUAAAUAUUAAAACUAUUUUUUCAAGUGGUGCAAUGGGACUACUACAAAACAGUUUUUAUUUUGAAAAAUAUAGGUUUCCAUUCUGAACUAAUUUACAUAUUUGAAUAUAAGUAGAUCAGACGAAAAAUAUUUAUGACCAAGCCAGGGAAUGGAAUUCGUGCUAAUUUCCAAGAAUCAUUGUGUAUUAAACAUGUAGGCCCCGGACAAUAUAUACCAACUACACAAACAUAGAUACUGUAUUUUGUGUUGACGAGAGCAGUGACAAAAGACGAAUGUUUACUAAGUUAUCAUUAGUUACAAAUGAAACUAGUAAUCAUGUUUACAUGACUCGGCAGCAGUGUCAUAUUCAUGGGCUAUUCUAAGGGUUUCGUGCACCACCUGAAGUAGUCCUUGUUUCCCUUAACCUGGGCACACUCUAGAUACACAUCUCAGGAAUACUGGGAGAGUCUCAGAAGUUUGAAUUUCCCCAUGAAACUGCGACUUGUGUAUGUACAGUUACUGGAAGAGGUAUAGUACAUCCCUCUCCCCUGUUAGGACCUCUCUUUUAAUCAACACUUUGACAGAUUUCCACAAGCAUUCUUAUAUUCUGUGUGUGGACGAAUGACACAUCCAAAGAGACAAAUUCCACAGAAUGAUUUACAGAUUCAUGUUGGAAACUUUUCUUCGCUGUGUUGUAGAAAAUAAAAUCUGUCUGGUAACUCUCUGGUUCUUGGCAAGGUGAAGUGCUUUACGAGAGACACUCAAGUUUUCGUGUCCCUGAAAUUUACAUGAAUUAUGAAGCACUUAAACAUUCCCUUUCAAUGCCUCUGAAGAUCUUUGUGUGCUUCAGUUUCAUUUUUUAGUAUUUGUCCAUUCUGGUAUUUCUAAUUAGCUAUAUGUAAUUCAUCUGUUUUCAUUGUCUUGUUUUGUCCACUGAUAGGAAUGCUGUCAUUCUUGACUAUCAGUAGCAGACUUCUUGACAGAACCUGUAGCAGUUCCAAAUGAUGUUUUCCAAUGACUUAGUUUCGGAGGUGGUACUGUGUAGUAUGUGUUAUCUUACCAGUGUUAGACUAAAAUAAUGCUAUUUUCAAUGGUAAGAUGACAGUUACCAAACCAUGUGUUCUCCUUGUCAGUAUCAUUUUCUGACACCAUCCACAGUACUAUUAAAGUGGGAAAUUGGGAUUCACGCCAUUCUUAUGAAGUUUCACUCGGCUGUCUCCACGACACUUGACACAAUUCCUGAAAUCGUCAUUUGGCAGCAAUCUGUAUUCCGAACAGACAUCCAAAUAAGAUUGCACACUGAACAAUUGAGGAAUUGAGUUUCGCCAGGUAGGAGUUUUGAGACUAGAGAUGCCAACAGCUUCACUCAUUCCAAUAAAUGCUACAUGAUGUUUCCAUUGCAAUCACAAAACAUUCCAUAUCUCCCAUCACAACAGCUGCGCAUUUAGUGUAUUUCAUCAUUCAAUAUAUAUUGUUCAUAGCUCAUGUGUUCGAUAGGCAAUGCUUCUUUGGAAUUACUGAAUUCUUUGUCAGUGGUCAAUAUUUGGCAUAACAUGAAUUUGAAGAAUGUGAGAUCAUUUUACCAGUGCAUUUUUACCACCUUUAAAUGUAGGCUAAAUUGGUUGUUCUGCUUUGUUCUUUCUAAAGGAGAUCACUUCUUAUUCAUCAAUGUCUACUGUUAUAACUUGUCCAAUAGUGCACUUUAUAGGCUUUGCACCUACAAUUUUAAUAGCAGCAAAAGAAACUAAAUAAAUAUCUUCCAUUUCAUCACCCGUUUGACCAGUGACAUCAUUAUUUAAUGUGUGCUUCAGAAUUACUGAAUUGCAGUUUUCCCAUGAACCAAAGUUAAAUUCAGAAGCAUUUUGGUUGAUAGAAUUCUCUUUAUAAAUCAUUAGGACAAACCAGGGUGCUUGAUGCUAACCAUCAACUUUGGCCAGUGACGUCAUAUCAAGUCCAAAGAAGCAACAGAAACACGAAAUUGGUUUUGUGACGAUGUAGUGUCUGACGCUCUGUCCACGCCAUUUGUGGCAUGGAAUUCUAGGCUGUGCCCUUAACUGAUUGUCUUUGCACUAAAAUGCAAGAUAAUGAUUUGUGCAAGGUUAGUUUGCACUUCUUACCCAUGGAGCUAUCGGUGUGUUGUAUGUGUACUGGUGGAAGGUCGCCUUUGUCUGCCACGGGAGAAGGUGGUUGCUUUGUGGCUUCUGAUAUUUUGUAUUGUAAGCAGAUACCAAGUGCAGAGGAAGAGUGGUGAGAAACUGCAAACAGGUAUAAUUUAAACUUUAAUUUCAUCCACUGCAUUGAUGCAAUUGGCAAGAAACACACAAUACAGACUUCCACUGUUUUCUGGUGCUUCAAUCAACACAGCUAUUAUCUAACAUGUGUUGUUGUUUUGAUGGCUAUUGCAGAUGCUCACUACAGAAUUCAGUAUGCCAGUUUGGAAUGCCAGGAGAGAAUCUCAGACGACGGAACGAAUAAGGUUAUUGAAAAUGAACUGCAACUUCCAUAACCGACAUUGAUACCAGAGAAAAGCAAAGUGGUUACUCCUUUUGCGUAGGUAACAGAUGACACAUUUGCAAUAGGCUCAAACCUCAUGAAGCCCUCCCAGAUCCAGACCCAUACCCAAAGGGUUCGCUAGGAAGAGUGUUUAAUUAUUGAUUGAGCAGAGGUCAACACAGGAUAGAGAAUGUAUUCAAUUUCCUGGCAUUUGUUUUCAGAGUGGCUUUUGAUGGUGGGGUCACAUAUACAGUAUGCAGUUACAACUUCAAGAACAUCACACUUAUUGUGACAUUAGUUAUUUUUCAGAACUAAGUCAAUAUGUACUUCAGUAGUACUGCAACUCUUUGGAGAUCUCAUUUUCUAUGAGAAAGCUCAUCAUACUGUAUCCAAACAAUACAGGCUCAUUCCAUGAAAUCUCACAGUGAGUGAUCAGUUGACCAUUUCAUGAUGUCUCAUCAGUAUUUACUCAUCAUUAAUCUGGCACCAAUUUCCAUAUUCUGAGAGAUCUACUACUUAGUAAUGAGUUAACCUACAGCUCUCAGAUUUUUGUACAUAAAGUCCUUGCUACUAAGUUGGUGUAACAUACAAAAAGGGGGUUCAACAUUUUGAUUUUUUAUAAAAAAUGUUGAAAUACUCAUUUUCCAUGCCGUGCUUUAAAUUGGUGAUAUUCUUAACACUAUUUUGUACAGGGAAACAGUAUAGAUAUUGGCCUGUGCACUGCAACUCUUUAGUACCAGUAUUAAGUUUUUACAAUAGUGCAAAGCAUUUCACAUCACAAUUAAUAGCUCUUAUUUUCACUUAAAGAUGACACCAUUAAAAAAAAAUAAAACUUGACUAGCUUUGAAGUUUUUUUGCUGAAAUGUUUAUGUAUCUGGUAGCAACCUUACAUGCAGAGAAUAAUAUCCUGACUUGCUUUAUUCAUUGGCAAAAAAUAAACCACCAGCAAUCACUGUUGGGAUAAGGUUCACCCACCUAUCAAAGGGGUGUAGACGGGGGUGAAAAAGAAGUGUAGCUCAUAACAUGAAUUCCUAGACUAAUCACUAAGUUUAAAGCAUAUAUGAAAUUUUUUCCUGUGAAUAAUACAAAAUGAUGAAAGUAAAAAAAGUUCAUCGCUUACUUCUUUUCUGAUGUUCUUGCAGUAAACGUACUGCAAGAGGCAUGACAUUAUAAUUUAUUAUUACUUUAGUCAUAACCGUAAUUGCGACACAUUUUGCAGACAGUAAGCACAUACAGCACUUACUGUAACUGCAAAAUUAUAUGUGUGAAUGGCACGUAAUUCAGGAGAUAUUAUAUCAUCAUAAACAAUGAGAAGAGUGAAAAACCGAUGAAUCAUGCAAAAUGUUUAAAUUUAUUGUCUUGUUGUUAGUAACUCAAUUUACAACACAUUUUGAAGACAGGAUCCACAUAUGCAACUGAAGAUACCUACAAAAUUUUUAUCAUUGUAUGAAUCAUAGUUUGAGAGAUACGAUACAAACAUUAAGCACAACGCUGCUCACCAGAUUUCUCUCCUAGCUUAGCAAAUAGACUCCAUAUGUAUUCUUAGAACAAUUCUUCGUGAAAUAUAUGUGGUUGUCCUUACAUGUCAGAACUGUAACAGGUGUGAGAAUUGAAAUUAGUUAUCAGUCAUUUUCAGUGUGGUGACACAUUGUUAUUCUGUUACUGUAAAUUAGAAAGACGCCAGGGGCAUGAAAUGAGAUGUAAGCAGUACUGAGAGACAUCAAUAUUUCUUAUGCUUAUAAUGGCAUAUAGACUCUGAGAUUCUGCAGAGAACAGUCUCAUAAAGUAAUUAAAGUACAAGGAAGGAAAUUUUACACUAAAGAGCCAAAGAAACUGGUACACCGGCCAAAUAUUGUGUAGGGCCUCCGCGAACAUGCAGAAGUGCUGCAAAACGACGUGGCAGGGACUCGACUAAUGUCAGAAGUAGUGCUGGAAGGAACUGCGACCAUGUAUCAUGCAGGGCUGUUCAUAAAUCUAUUAUAAUAUGACGGAGUGGAGAUUUCUUCAGAACAGCAUGUCGCAAGGCAUCCCAGAUAUGCUCAACAAUGUUCAUGUCUGCAGAGUUUGGCAGCCAGUGGAAGUGUUUAAACUCAGAAGAAUAUUCCUAGAGCCACAGUGUACCAAUACUGGAUGUUCGGGGUGUCGCAUUGUCCUGCUGGAAUUGCCCAAGUUGGUCGGAAUGCACAAUGGACAUGAAUGGAUGCAGCUGAUCAGACAGGAUACUCACGCAUGUGUCACCUGUCAGUUGUAUCUAGACGUAUCAGGUGUCCCAUAUCACACCAUCUGUGUCCACCCCACACAACAACAGAGUUUCCGCCAACUUGAACAGGCCCAUGUUGGCAUGCUGGAUUCGUGGAUUCAUGAGGUUGUCUCCAUACCCAUACACAUCCAUCCGCUCGAUAUUAUUUGAAAUGAGAUUCGUCCGAGAAGACAACAUGUUUCCAGUCAUCAGCAGUCCAAUGUCGGUAUUGAUGGGCCCAGGCAAGAUAUAAAGCUUAGUGUCAUGCAGUCAUCAAGGGUACAUGAGUGGGCCUUCACCUCCGAAAACUCAUAUCGAUGAUGUUUUAUUCGAUGGUUCGCACGCUGACACUUGUUGAUAACCCAGCAUUGAAAUCUGCAGCAAUUUAUGGAAGGGUUGCACUUAUGUCACGUUGAACAAUUCUCUAGUCGUUGUUGGUCCUGUUCUUGCAGGAUCUUUUUCUGGCCUCGGCGAUGUCAGAGAUUUGAUGUUUCAUAGGAUUCCUGAUACUCACGGUACACUCGUGAUUGGUCGUAUUGGAAAAUCCCAACUUCAUUGCUGCCUUGGAGAUGCUGUGUCCCAUCACUAAUGCGUCAACUAUGACACUACGAUCAAACACUCUUAAUUGUUGAUAACAUGCCAUUGUAGCAGCAAUAACUGAUUUAACAACUGCACUAGAUACUUGUCUUCUGUAGGUGUUCCCGACUGCAGUGGCAUAUUCUGCCUGUUGUCAUAUCUCUGUAUUCGAAUACGCACGCCUAUACCAGUUUCUCUGGCACUUCAGUGUAAUAAAUACACAUCAUCUACUGUGCAUGUAACAUUGUUUUCCAUGACGUCUUGAUCCAGAAAUGAAAUAAGUUCACUUUAGGAUGAGAGAUCAGAUCUUUCCAUAGCAUUUAUUGUCAUGUUUGUGGAAUGAUGGGACCUUGCAUAUAACAUUGGAGAAUGGGACUUGCACAGCAUCUUUCCUACAGGCCCAGGAUGGGAAUGGUGAUUCAUCUGGAGAAAAGCAGUUAAUCUCAGCAUCUUUAAAUUCAUUCAAUAUGAGGAAAUGCAUGUACCAGUUUUCAUCAUAUCUGAAAACCACAAACUGUGCUUCCAUAGAUAGGUUGUGUGCAUGCGGCUACCGCACUUGGGACUUUGGUUACAGUUUUCUCUGGAGUGUUCAAAGCCCUAACAUCUGGAGCACUGGAUUGGUUGUGAUGGUGGUAUUGAGUUCAAGAUGUUCACUGAGUAAACUAUCUACUUUUGACAGGUCUCUUGUAGUGACUUAUAUCAGGGAAGCUUCACCCAGUAUCCUUGGAGUCCAGCCUUAACUGCCCUUUGGCAGGUAUAAAUUUUGUUCGGCCAGCUCUUCCUCUGCCUCUUGUGUAAUAUUGAAAUCAGUGCCCUUAAUGAUCAUGCAAAUUGUAAGUAGUUGGCAUUUUGUGUUAGAAUCUGUGUUAAUGCAUAGGUUUUUGUAGUUGUUGUUAAAUGUUAAAUGUGUUUUAUUUAUCUCAUAACGUACAAUAUUUCAGAACAUAUGUCUGAUGUACAGGAGACACGUCAAGGUUACAAUUAGCUUAUUUACAAUUUUUUCAUACUUACAGUAAUACUUUGUGAAGAAUUUACUUACUUAAAAUUUGUCAAACUUAUAGCAUUUACAUCUACUAUAACUAUCAGAAAUUUUUAUUCCAUUUUAGGGAUCCAGUUCAAAGUAUCACUUCAUCCUUCAUGAAAUCUUCCACAGAGUAGUAGCAUCGUUUAAUUAGAAAAUCAUGUAACUUGCUUUUUAAAAUAUUUACCUUCAUACUCAUCAUGCCACACCCUUUUAUAGAGUUGUGAAUUUUCAUGGCUAUAUACUGAGGAGUCUGAGCACGCAGUUUUAAGCGAUGAGAGGUGAGCAUAAAGUUUUCUUUAUGUCUCGUGUCAUACGAGUGUUCAAAAUGAUUUUUUUUUUAAUAGAUCAGCUCUCCUGCGUAGGAAAAGAAUCACCUCAAGGAUGUAUAGAGAGGGAACAGUUAAUAUUUUUAGAUCUCUAAAUAAUGGUCUACAUGAUGCCCUCGGCUGUGCAGAGCACAUGUUGCGAACGAUUCUUUUUUGCAAUUUUAAGAUCCGUGUAACGUUUCCAGAGUUUCCCCAAAAAAUUAUGCCAUAUCGAAUAACUGAUUCGAAGUAGCUAUAAUACGCUAUUUUCCUGGUGGCCAUAUCAGUGGCACAGGCUAAAAUUUCCAUUGCAAAAGCAAGGCUGUUUAAUUUAUUUGCUAGAUAUUCUAUAUGAGAAUUCCAGCUCAAAGUUUUGUCUAAGUUUAUUCCCAGGAACCUGACUGAGUCAAGUUCUUUCAUUUUUUGAUUGUUGUGAGUGAUACAGAUUUCUUCAGUUUUUGACUUUUUGGAUUUAAAACUCAUCAUGUGGGUUUUUGAAAUGUUUAGCCUUAAGCCAUUUAGACUGAACCAUGUUUCCAGGUUUCUUAACGUAUUCAUGACACAAUGUGGUACAUUUUCAGAAUUUUCAUUUUCAAUUAGGGCAGAAGUAUCAUCUGCAAACAAAGUUAAAUGAGUAUUUAUAUUGAGAGGCAAGUCAUUUACAUAGAACAAGAAUAAAAUGGGUCCAAGAAUUGAGCCUUGAGGAACACCUUGUGUGACAGUUUUCCACUCUGAGAAGUAAUCUGCUCCAUUUGAUGUGAUUAUUACCCUUUGCUUCCUCUACGACAGGUAUGAUUCAAACCAUUUCAAAGCAAUAUCCCUUAUUCCAUACCUGUUGAGUUUGAAAAGCAUGAGGGCAUGGUUUACAGAGUCGAAUGCUUUUGUAAGAUCACAAAAUAUUCCUGCGACCUUAGCUUUCCUAUCUAGUGAUGAAGUAAUUUUUUCAAUAAACUCAUUUAUUGCAUCUACUGUGUUUUUGCCUUUGAGAUAAGCCUCUACAUCCUUACAUUUGUCCUCUAGCCAUCCCUGCUUAGCCAUUUUGCACUUCCUGUCGAUCUCAUUUUUGAGACGUUUGUAUUCCUUUUUGCCUGCUUCAUUUACUGUAUUUUUAUGUUUUCUCCUUUCAUCAAUUAAAUUCAGUAUUUCUUCUGUCACCCAAGGAUUUCUAUUAGCCCUCGUCUUUUUACGUACUUGAUCCUCUGCUGCCUUCACUACUUCAUCCCUCAAAGCUACCAAUUCUUCUUCUACUGUACUUCUUUCUCCCAUUCCUGUCAAUUGUUCCCUUAUGCUCUCCCUGAAACUCUGUACAACCUCUGGUUCUUUCAGUUUAUCCAGCUCCCAUCUCCUUAAAUUCCCACCUUUUUGCAGUUUCUUCAGUUUUAAUCUACAGGUCAUAACCAAUAGAUUGUGGUCAGAAUCCACAUCUGCCCCUGGAAAUGUCUUACAAUUUAAAACCUGGUUCCUAAAUCUCUGUCUUACCAUUAUAUAAUCUAUCUCAAACCUGUCAGUAUCUCCAGGCUUUUUACAUGUAUACAACCUUCUUUCAUGAUUCUUGAACCAAGUGUUAUCUAUGAUUAAGUUGUGUUCUGUGCAAAAUUCUACCAGGCUGCUUCCUCUUUUAUUUCUUAGCCCCAAUCCAUAUUCAACUAUACGUUUCCUUCUCUCCCUACACUACACUCGAAUUCCAGUCACCCAUGACUAUUAAAUUUUCUUCUCCCUUCACUAUCUGAAUAAUUUCUUUUAUUUCAUCAUACAUUUCUUCAA